GUGCUCGCUUUGGCAGCACAUAUGCUAAAAUUGGAACAAUACAAAGAUUAGCAUGGCCCCUGCGCAAGGAUGACAGGUUAAUUUUUUAACAUUUAAAAAAAAAAA